GACGAACGCUGGCGGCGUGCCUAAUACAUGCAAGUAGAACGCUGAAGAGAGGAGCUUGCUCUUCUUGGAUGAGUUGCGAACGGGUGAGUAACGCGUAGGUAACCUGCCUGGUAGCGGGGGAUAACUAUUGGAAACGAUAGCUAAUACCGCAUAAAAUUGAUUAUUGCAUGAUAAUCCAUUGAAAGGUGCAACUGCACCACUACCAGAUGGACCUGCGUUGUAUUAGUUAGUUGGUGGGGUAACGGCUCACCAAGGCGACGAUACAUAGCCGACCUGAGAGGGUGAUCGGCCACACUGGGACUGAGACACGGCCCAGACUCCUACGGGAGGCAGCAGUAGGGAAUCUUCGGCAAUGGACGGAAGUCUGACCGAGCAACGCCGCGUGAGUGAAGAAGGUUUUCGGAUCGUAAAGCUCUGUUGUAAGAGAAGAACGAGUGUGAGAGUGGAAAGUUCACACUGUGACGGUAUCUUACCAGAAAGGGACGGCUAACUACGUGCCAGCAGCCGCGGUAAUACGUAGGUCCCGAGCGUUGUCCGGAUUUAUUGGGCGUAAAGCGAGCGCAGGCGGUUAGAUAAGUCUGAAGUUAAAGGCUGUGGCUUAACCAUAGUACGCUUUGGAAACUGUUUAACUUGAGUGCAAGAGGGGAGAGUGGAAUUCCAUGUGUAGCGGUGAAAUGCGUAGAUAUAUGGAGGAACACCGGUGGCGAAAGCGGCUCUCUGGCUUGUAACUGACGCUGAGGCUCGAAAGCGUGGGGAGCAAACAGG
rnacentral:rRNA from 1 species